rnacentral:miRNA from 12 species
AGAAUCUUGAUGAUGCUGCAG